rnacentral:rRNA from 1 species
GACGAACGCUGGCGGCGUGCUUAACACAUGCAAGUCGAACGAGUGGCGAACGGGUGAGUAAUACGUGGGAACCUGCCCUCCUUUUUUGGAUAAGCCUUGGACACGGGGUCUAAUACUGAUUUAAGGGGGCUGGGCUCGCGGCCUAUCAGCUUGUUGGUGGGGUGAAGGCAUACCAAGGCGGUGACGGGUAGCCGGUCUGAGAGGAUGACCAGCCACACUGGAACUGAGACACGGUCCAGACUCCUACGGGAGGCAGCAGUGGGGAAUAUUGCACAAUGGGCGCAAGCCUGAUGCAGCCAUGCCGCGUGUGUGAAGAAGGCCUUCGGGUUGUAAAGCACUUUCAGCGAGGAGGCGUUACUCGCAGAAGAAGCACCGGCUAACUCCGUGCCAGCAGCCGCGGUAAUUC